ACGGAGGGCGCAAGCGUUAAUCGGAAUUACUGCGCGUAAAGCGCACGCAGGCGGUUGGAUAAGUUAGAUGUGAAAGCCCCGGGCUCAACCUGGGUAUUGCACUUAAAACUGUCCAGCUAGAGUUUUGUAGAGGGGGGUAGAAUUCCAGGUGUAGCGGUGGAAUGCGUAGAGAUCUGGAGGAAUACCGGUGGCGAGGGCGGCCCCCUGGACAAAGGCUGACGCUCAGGUGCGAUAGCGUGGGGAGCAAACAG
rnacentral:rRNA from 1 species